rnacentral:rRNA from 1 species
GGAAUUGUUCGCAAUGGGCGCAAGCCUGACGACGCAACGCCGCGUGGAGGAUGAAGGGCUUCGGCUCGUAAACUCCUUUCGACCGAGAUGAACAUCCACGGGAUUAAUACCCUUGUGGACUGACAGUAUCGAGGGAAGAAGCCCCGGCUACCUCCUUUCCCGCAGCCGCGGUAAAACGGGGGGGGCAAGCGUUGUUAGGAAUUACUGGGCGUAAAGGGUUCGUAGGUGGCCAACUAAGUCAUACGUGAAAUCCCUCAGCUUAACUGGGGAACUGCGUCUGAUACUGGUUGGCUCGAGUGCAGGAGAGGAACGCGGAAUUCCAGGUGUAGCGGUGAAAUGCGUAGAUAUCUGGAGGAACACCGGUGGCGAAGGCGGCGUUCUGGACUGUAACUGACACUGAGGAACGAAAGCCAGGGGAGCAAAC